GGCGGAGAGAAGCUCAUCGAUGGGGCUACAUGCUGAGUGCACUUGGUCACUCCACUCCAUGUCCCUUGGGAAGGUCUGAGACUAGAGCCAGUAAGCGGCCCUAACAGGGCCCUCCAUGAACCUCGGGGAGGUGAGUUCCCAGAAAACGGGUCUCCGCGCGAGGGCGGACUGGGCAGGAGAUGCCAGGUGGACCCCGCCCUUGAGGAGGGGCCUGGCGGAUGCCUCCUGAGCCGGAGCUUGGAACAGACUCACGGCUAGCGAAGUGAGUUCAAUGGCUGAGGUGAGGUACCCUGUCUGGGGGCCUCAUAACCCAAUUCAGACUACUCUCCCUCCGUC
rnacentral:RNase_P_RNA from 1 species